rnacentral:rRNA from 1 species
UACGGAGGAUGCGAGCGUUAUCCGGAUUUAUUGGGUUUAAAGGGUGCGUAGGCGGAUCGUUAAGUCAGUGGUCAAAUUGAGGGGCUCAACCCCUUCCCGCCAUUGAAACUGGCGAUCUUGAGUGGAAGAGAAGUAUGCGGAAUGCGUGGUGUAGCGGUGAAAUGCAUAGGUAUCACGCAGAACCCCGAUUGCGAAGGCAGCAUGCCGGCUUCCUACUGACGCUGAAGCACGAAAGCGUGGGGAUCGAACAGG